CUUUCUUCAAAUUUAACAUGGUAUUAGAGAAAAUACAAAUUAGUUAUCAAGCAACAAUAGUGUAGUUGCACUUAAGGGGAGAGUGUUGCAGAAAAUUAGACUCAAAAUCAGCCAUUUAACUAGCACAUCUGAAUAUGUAUGCAUUCAGCAUAUUCCUCUCAAUCAAUUCAAAGAUGCAAACAUCUCCAACUUCCAGAGAAUUUUCCCUUGCAAAUGCAAGCCAACCAGCACAUAACUUAGCUGUACGCCUAUGUGAAUACACAUUCAACUUUACAGGCCAUGAUUUGUCAGCAACCUUAAGCAUCACAGUCCGUGAUUCACAAGCCAUAUACCUCCUGAUUAAAUGAAAGGGAAUGGCCUGCGAAAAUUGAUAAUUAAAAUAGUGUCAUGAAUUCAUGAUACAUAAUAAUUAUGAUGUUCUUCUUCAUGGUAAUCCUUAUGCAUUUAUCUUUUUUUUCACAAUCAAGAUCAAACCAAACAUUAGUACUAUGGUUUAAUAUUAAUUAUAAAUGCCAUACCACAUUGAGACUUCGCCUUAAUAAAACCUUGAAGAAUGGAUAGCUAGAGAUGAAGUUGUUGACAGCUUCAAGAGCUCCACAAAUUUUUGAACGUUUAGGCCUUCCAGCCUGCCUACUCCUACCCGUCUCAUCCAUGAAUUGUUUCCGCUUUCCUCUGGAUUGGUUGCCAUUCCUGAUUGGAUCAUCCAAAUUGUGACAUGAAAUGCUAUCGUGAUCAUCAAUUUCUUGCUUCUUGGGCUGUGGUGAUUCUCCAUCAAAAUUUAGCUUAACUGAAUACUCAAUCUCUACAGCGGUCUUAUCAAAUAUGAACACAUGGAAAAGGCUAUCUCCCUUAUAUUCAAAAACUAACAAGUGCCCAUAUUUCAGAGUGUGAUUCUCAGAAAAUUCUGGCCAACCCUUUUCUAGCCAAACCUCAUUCCCAUUUUUCAGUAACUCUACUUUCCAUGAGGUGCCUGUGGGAUCUUGAAGGGUUACUGGACUAGUUAAACAAUAUCCGUAAUCUUCCACAAAUUUUAUGGGAAUCCCAAGUUUUCCCUGGUGGAUAGUAUAUUCAAGAAUUAUCUUGAAAAAACGGGUUGGUUUUCUUCUAACAGUGAAGGUCUCCUCCUGGGAUCUGCCUCCAAGAGAAGUCAUCGUAGAAUAGAGCAGCCUCAAUAUUUGUUGGUAGAGAAGAUUCUGUGUUCAUGUAGCACAGCUUAUUCCCAAUCUUCUUUAACAAGCGGUAUUCCCUAAUUAUUCCAGAAACAAACAAGGGUAAAUUAAAG
rnacentral:misc_RNA from 1 species